UACGGAGGGCGCAAGCGUUGUUCGGAAUCACUGGGCGUAAAGCGCGUGUAGGCGGCCGGGCAAGUCGGAUGUGAAAUCCCGAGGCUCAACCUCGGAACUGCAUUCGAAACUGCCCGGCUCGAGUCCCGGAGAGGAUGGCGGAAUUCCCGGUGUAGGGGUGAAAUCCGUAGAUAUCGGGAGGAACACCAGUGGCGAAGGCGGCCAUCUGGACGGUGACUGACGAUGAGACGCGAAAGAGUGGGGAGCAAACAGG
rnacentral:rRNA from 1 species